CACACGACCACAAACGCACACAGGGGGAUUCACAAAUCAGGGAUCAUCAAACCACAAUGGGAAAACACAGGGACAUACACAAACAGAGUCCCUGAACAGAAAACAUUCAUACGAAUCUGCCAUGCACCAAAUACACACGGACACAAAUGGAAAAAGUGACUCUAGAGUACAACGAAGCUCAGAAGUACACAGAGAACCGACUGACUAAUGAUCUCAAGAAAAUAGCUCUUCGUCAACUCUGCCAGAUUAAAACCCAAAGACCAUGUGAAAGGAGGGCAGAGAGAAAUGAGAACGACCAAUGAGGAACUGAGAGUGAAAACAAAAGC